rnacentral:lncRNA from 1 species
CUUUAUGCGGGUAGUCGAUCGUCAUAAUCUGACCACCAUCGGGAGGGUCUGAUCAUCGCAACGUAGCCACACAGUAUGUCUGGUCUCUGUGGAUUGUCCAUAUGAAGCUUACGAUCUGAUCGACUCCUCACGAAUGCUAGUUCGUGGCAGAACUCUUUUGACGGCUGAUGUUGAUCGAACUCAUUCGAUCUUGAUCUGCCGACUCUUUGGAUACUCUGGAUCAUCAGCAGAGGUGCUUGAGAGGUUGAUGAAUCUCUCCCUAAGAUCUGGUGGGCUCACGACACUCGUAGCUCACUUUCUCACUUUCUGAACCCUAAGCAGAAACCCUAGGGUACUCUCAGAAAAGCCUACGUCUCUUUCUGUUUCUUUUCUUUUCUCUUCUUUUCCUUUCUUUUCUCAUGCACGAGACUUUUCUCAUGCCCCUUUUCUCUCUGAUCAG